AACGAACGCUGGCGGCAGGCUUAACACAUGCAAGUCGAACGGGUGUAGCAAUACAUCAGUGGCAGACGGGUGAGUAACACGUGGGAACCUUCCUCGUUGUACGGGACAACUCAGGGAAACUUGAGCUAAUACCGUAUACGUCCGAGAGGAGAAAGAUUUAUCGCAAUGAGACGGGCCCGCGUCGGAUUAGCUAGUUGGUGGGGUAACGGCCUACCAAGGCGACGAUCUGUAGCUGAUCUGAGAGGAUGAUCAGCCACACUGGGACUGAGACACGGCCCAGACUCCUACGGGAGGCAGCAGUGGGGAAUCUUGGACAAUGGGCGCAAGCCUGAUCCAGCCAUGCCGCGUGAGUGAAGAAGGCCUUAGGGUUGUAAAGUUCUUUUGCCAGGGACGAUAAUGACGGUACCUGGAGAAUAAGCCCCGGCAAACUUCGUGCCAGCCGCCGCCGCCG
rnacentral:rRNA from 1 species